rnacentral:rRNA from 1 species
GACGAACGCUGGCGGCGUGCUUAACACAUGCAAGUCGAACGGAAAGGCCCUGCUUUUGUGGGGUGCUUGAGUGGCGAACGGGUGAGUAACACGUGAGUAACCUGCCCUUGACUUUGGGAUAACUUCAGGAAACUGGGGCUAAUACCGGAUAGGAGCUCCUGCUGCGUGGUGGGGGUUGGAAAGUUUCGGCGGUUGGGGAUGGACUCGCGGCUUAUCAGCUUGUUGGUGGGGUAGUGGCUUACCAAGGCUUUGACGGGUAGCCGGCCUGAGAGGGUGACCGGCCACAUUGGGACUGAGAUACGGCCCAGACUCCUACGGGAGGCAGCAGUGGGGAAUAUUGCACAAUGGGCGGAAGCCUGAUGCGGCAACGCCGCGUGCGGGAUGACGGCCUUCGGGUUGUAAACCGCUUUCGCCUGUGACGAAGCGUGAGUGACGGUAAUGGGUAAAGAAGCACCGGCUAACUACGUG